rnacentral:piRNA from 1 species
GCACAUUGAAGGUCAUGAGAUGCCUGA